AUGGUUGUCGUCAGCUCGUGUCGUGAGAUGUUGGGUUAAGUCCCGCAACGAGCGCAACCCCUAUCCUCAGUAGCCAGCAUUUAGGAUGGGCACUCUGGAGAGACUGCCCGGGACAACCGGGAGGAAGGCGGGGAUGACGUCAAAUCAUCAUGCCCCUUAUGGGCAGGGCUACACACGUGCUACAAUGGCGGAAACAGAGGGAGGCAAGCCGGCGACGGCAAGCAAACCCCAAAAAUACCGUCCCAGUUCGGACUGUAGUCUGCAACCCGACUACACGAAGCCGGAAUCGCUAGUAAUCGCGAAUCAGAAUGUCGCGGUGAAUACGUUCCCGGGUCUUGUACACACCGCCCGUCACACCAUGGGAGUCGGAAAUGCCCGAAGUCAGUGACCUAACCUUUAAGGGAGGAGCUGCCGAAGGUGGAGCCGGUAACUGGGGUGAAGUCGUAACAAGGUAGCCGUAUCGGAAGGUGCGGUUGGAUCACCUC
rnacentral:rRNA from 1 species